rnacentral:rRNA from 1 species
AGUUAAGCUACUAAGAGCGUAUAACGAAUGCCUUGGCGAAAACUAGCGAAGAAGGGCGUGGUAAGCUGCGAUAAGUCUCGGGUAGGUGCAAAUAACCUUUUAUCCGGGAAUUCCCGAAUGGGGAAACCCAUCAUGAAGUUAAUUCAUGAUAUUUUCUAUUUUAAAUAGAAAAAGCGAACCAGGGGAAGUGAACCAUCUCAGUACCCUGAGGAAAAGAAAGAAAGUCUCGAUUCCCUAAGUAGCGGCNNNNNNNNNNNNNNNNNNNNNNNNNNNNNNNNNNNNNNNNNNNNNNNNNNNNNNNNNNNNNNNNNAACAUAGUCGUGUUCAAUAUCCGGGGUUGCAGGACCGGAAAAUGGGAAAGACUAUUUUCCCUGCAUGUUUACAAAUUUCUAGAUUAGUUGAAUGACAUGGAAAGGUCAACCAUAGAAGGUAACAGUCCUGUAAGCGAAAAUCUGGAAAUACAUGUUUUUGUUUCCUAAGUACCACGAAGGAAUCGAGAAGCUUCGUGGGAAGCCGGAAGGACCAUCUUCCAAGACUAAAUAUAUGUUUUCGACCGAUAGUGCACAAGUACCGCGAGGGAAAGGUGAAAAGAACCCCGGGAGGGGAGUGAAAUAGAACCUGAAAUUGUACGCCUACAAGCAGUCGGAGUCUGAUUUUUUUCGGAUGACGACGUGCCUAUUGAAGAAUGAGCCUGCGAGUUAUUGACAGUGGCAAGAUUAAUCCAUAUUAAUGGAGGAGUCGGAGCGAAAGCGAAUGGUACAAAUAGUGCCAUUAGUUAUUGUUAGUAGACCCGAAGCCCGGUGAUCUAUCCAUGGGCAGGAUGAACCCACCUUAAUCGGUGGGGGAGGUCCGAACCAGUGACAGUUGCAAAUGUCUUGGAUGACCUGUGGAUAGGAGUGAAAGGCUAAUCAAACCGGGUGAUAGCUGGUUCUCCCCGAAAUGACUUUAGGGUCAGCCUCGGUUAAUAGGAAUAUGGAGGUAGAGCACUGACUGGGCAAUUCCGAUUUAUGUCGGGAAAGCCCUAUCAAACUCCGAAUGCCAUAUUCUGUUUUCCGGGAGUGAGACUGUGAGGGCUAAGCUUCAUAGUCAAGAGGGACUCAGCCCAGACCAACAGCUAAGGCCCCUAAAUCCAUGUUAAGUGGCGAAAGAGGUGGAGUUACUUAAACAACCAGGAGGUUGGCUUAGAAGCAGCCAUCCUUUAAAGAUAGCGUAACAGCUCACUGGUCGAUGUGAUUCUGCGCUGAAAAUAUAACGGGGCUUAAACAUGGUGCCGAAGCUUUGGAUUUUUAACUGUAAAAGUUGAAAGUGGUAGGGGAGCAUUCUUCCGGAAGUGAAGCGAGUUUGUAAGAAUCCGUGGAUCUGGAAGAAGAGAGAAUGCCGGCAAGAGUAGCGAAAAUUCCAAUGAAAAUUUGGAACGCCGAAAGUCUAAGGUUUCCUGGGGAAGGUUCGUCCACCCAGGGUUAGGCGGGAGCUAAGCUGAGGCCGAAAGGCGUAGGUGAUGCACAGCAGGUUAAUAUUCCUGCCCCAUCUGAUAUGCGUUAUACCGAAGGGAUGACAAAGAAAGAUAUACUA